rnacentral:rRNA from 1 species
UGAGUGAAGAAGGGUUUCGGCUCGUAAAGCUCUGUUGUUGGAGAAGAACGUGCGUGAGAGUAACUGUUCACGCAGUGACGGUAUCCAACCAGAAAGUCACGGCUAACUACGUGCCAGCAGCCGCGGUAAUACGUAGGUGGCAAGCGUUAUCCGGAUUUAUUGGGCGUAAAGCGAGCGCAGGCGGUUGCUUAGGUCUGAUGUGAAAGCCUUCGGCUUAACCGAAGAAGUGCAUCGGAAACCGGGCGACUUGAGUGCAGAAGAGGACAGUGGAACUCCAUGUGUAACGGUGGAAU